CAAUAGCGUAUAUUUAAGUUGCUGCAGUUAAAAAGCUCGUAGUUGGAUUUCGGGUGGGAAUGGCCGGUCCGCCGUUUCGGUGUGCACUUGCUACGCCCACCUUGCUGCCGGGGACGUGCUCUUGAGUUCACGCUCGGGACACGGAGUCGGCGAGGUUACUUUGAGUAAAUUAGAGUGUUCAAAGCAGGCCUACGCUCUGAAUACAUUAGCAUGGAAUAACACGAUAGGACUCUGGCCUAUCUUGUUGGUCUGUAGGACCGGAGUAAUGAUUAAGAGGGACAGUCGGGGGCAUUCGUAUUUCAUUGUCAGAGGUGAAAUUCUUGGAUUUAUGAAAGACGAAUUACUGCGAAAGCAUUUGCCAAGGAUGUUUUCAUUAA
rnacentral:rRNA from 1 species